rnacentral:rRNA from 1 species
AACGCGAAGAACCUUACCAGGUCUUGACAUCCCGUUGACCACUGUAGAGAUAUGGUUUUCCCUUCGGGGACAACGGUGACAGGUGGUGCAUGGUUGUCGUCAGCUCGUGUCGUGAGAUGUUGGGUUAAGUCCCGCAACGAGCGCAACCCUUGAUCUUAGUUGCCAUCAUUUAGUUGGGCACUCUAAGGUGACUGCCGGUGACAAACCGGAGGAAGGUGGGGAUGACGUCAAAUCAUCAUGCCCCUUAUGACCUGGGCUACACACGUGCUACAAUGGACGAUACAAACGGUUGCCAACUCGCGAGAGGGAGCUAAUCCGAUAAAGUCGUUCUCAGUUCGGAUUGUAGGCUGCAACUCGCCUACAUGAAGCCGGAAUCGCUAGUAAUCGCGGAUCAGC